ensembl:lncRNA
ACAAGACUCAGUGCCUGGCGACAAAGCCAAUGGGACAGUGUACGGUUGCACUCACUGAACAAAUGUUUGGUGCUUCCUUUGGGAUAAUGCUUUUUGGCGUUUACUGAUCACCUUUUCUUCAAGACAAAAGGAGGCUGUGAGUACGCAAAGGACAAAACUAGCAGAAAGCCAGCUGCUGCUCAGUAGGAGCGCCCUGUGAUUUCAGGCAUAACACUAAUUCUGCUUGCAAAAGCUUAACACUUUCUGCAGUAAUUCAUUGCUACUAGGAAAAUAAAUAAGCUUUUCUAACUCCAGCAGGAUGAAACACAGUAGCAUCAAUGUGUGAGCUAAUUAAUUAGAUACAUUUGAAAGUGUACUGUCUGCAUUAUUAUAUCAUUGAUUUUUCACUGGGAGAAAACAACUGGAGUUGGCUAUCAGAGGCUGCAGGUGCACUGCAUUUCACUGUGGAUGAAAAAUCAUUUCUAGUUCACCACAGUUAAGCAAAAAACAGCAGGCUGCUUUCGGUGGCACUUUGGUAUGUAAAGUAUUUUUCUUGAUGGUUGAUGUUAGAAACUCCUAGUAUGCCAAAACGAGCUAACAUUAGAAAGGCUUCAAGCUGUGUUUCCUACAGAUCCAUAUAUGUCAUGGGGUGGUGGCUGGUUGCACUUAAAAAAAAAAUUGAUGGUCAAAUUUAACAGGCUGCUGAAAUGUAAAAGAAGAAGGACAAGUACCAUUGUAAAAUACCUAAGUAGAUAGGGUGAGUCAAUGGCAGUUUUCCAGGAAAAUAAGUAUUAGGGUCUACAGGCUGUUGCUAGAAGUGGAGAGGACUGGAUAUCAAGUCUAAUGCGCAAUGUGAGCCAUGUUUUCUCUUACAUGAGAGCACUUCUGAGCCACCAAAGUUUGUGAGAGGUUUUAUGAGAAUGCUCGAAGCAAAAUUCAUCGGAGAGAAAUGAAAUUAUUCAGUAGUCUUGCCAAUAUGGCACUAGCCCUCGGCAUGUGUUUUUGGUGAUCUUUCUAGCCACUAUGUCUGUUUACCUGCCUUCCAGCUAAUAAGACUUGCUAAUUGUCUCUUGUGUACUGUGAGAUUACCAGUGCAAAAGGAGAUAAGCCUACUUAUCUGCAUCCUUUGACAACCUCAGGAGGCUGGAGAUAAACUUGACAAACAAUCUGGGAAGACGAAAAUUCGACAUAUUAAUUUCUUCAGAAGACAGAUUGAAAUUUUACGGUUUGAUGUCAAACAUCUUGAAGAAUGUGGGCUGUUCCUGCAGUUGCAAAGUCACUGUCAUGCACACAGAAACAGUAAUGCUCAGCUGACGCGCUCAGCCUUAGUGAGCUACUGUCUCCAUUUUGCUCAUGAGGAAGCAAGGUGCAGAGGUUGCACGAAGCAUUUAAUGCCCACAGGUCAAGGAUAAUCAAUUCCGAAUUAGGUGUGGAUUACGUGGGAUGUAUCCCACUGCUUCAGAACACGGCAUCCAUGAUUUUGCAUGCAGAUUGGAUGUCUGUCAUUAGAAACUGGAGAAAGCCCUGGAGUUCUUAACUCAGGGGAUUACAGGUCCCCUGUGCCUGCUCUACGGUCGCCACAAAUUCACUGAGGAAAGGUAUCAUCUCUAAUAAGGAUGCUUUGUAAAGAAUACAGAUGUUGUAUAAACAGAUGUACGAGAACUUGAGUUUUGGUAUCAGCCUGUGCAAACUCAUUUUCGACCACAGCCUAUUCAGUUAACUUCCCUGUGCUUUGCUUUCUCUAUGAAAGAGAAAAAAAAGAAAAAGAAAAAGAAAAAAAAAGUCUUAUUAUAGAAAAUUUAUGAGAAUAAAAUGAAAGUAUCAAUACACUGAUCAAAAAAAUGAAAGUGUAACUGCUUCUUAUAUAAUGGAGCAAUUAAUGGACAAAGGAAGGGUAACUGAUAUCAUCUACCUGGACUUGUGGCAUGGCCUUUGACAUGGUCCUGGACCAUAUCCUUAUUUCUCAAUUGGAGAGAGAUGGACUUGAAGGCUGGUCUGUUUGGUGGAUAAGGAAUUGGUUGGAUGGUUACAGCCAGAGGGUUGUGGUCAGUGGCUCUAUAUAGGUCCAGGUGGAGGCUGAUAACAAGCAGUGUACCCCAGGGGUCCAUCUUGGGACCAGUACUCUCAAACAUCUUUAUCAGUGACAUAUAUAGUUGGAUCAAGUUUGCUGUUGACACCAAGCUGAGUGGUGCAGGUGAUACAGCAGAAGGAAGGGAUGACAUCCAGAGGGACUUUGAUAAACUCAAAAGGUGGACCCAUGUGAACUUAGUGAGGUUCAACAAAGCCAAGUGCAAGGGGUUGUACUUGGAUCAGGGUAAUCCCAACUAUAUGUACAGACUGGGAGAAGAACUCCUUGAAAGCAGCUCUGCCGAGAAGGACUUGGAGGUCCUGGUGGAUGAAAAGCUGGACAUGAGCCAACAGUGUGUGCUUGCAGAUCAGAAGGCCAACUAUAUCCUGGGCUGCAUUGUAAGAGGGAUGGCCAGUAGGGAGAGGGAAAUGGCCCAGGCUGAGCACUUAAGGCCUUGGACCAAGAGGACUUCAUCAGGACAAAUGCCUUUUUCCUGUUAAAUCCAAUUCUCAGCUUACUAGGGAAGCAUUUUAUUUCUUUUUUUACCUUGAAGCUUUACAAUAUUUCAGCAGUAACACCCCAGCACCUGCAAGCCCUUGGUAGGGCAGGGCAGAGCAGCACUGGUGCCAUGAGGACACUUGUGGUUUCUGGACUUGUUAAAGUUAGUAGCCCCAGGGCACACACCAGGCACAUGAGUGGCCUUCUUACUUGUUGCUGGGUCUAUAUUUCCUUCCCUCACGACUACAGGGAUUUUUUCUUUUUGUUGUAUUUUAAGAAGUAAGUUACCUACACAAGAAGCUCCAAACAAACAAAGCAGAUUUGUCCCCUUCCAGCAUUCCCUUCCAGCAUCCCACUCCAGACCCAGCUGAGAAGCAGCUGCUGGCCAUUCCACAUGAGUGAUGCCAGCAGUCAGAAAUGGAGCACAGAGUGUUAGAGGAUUCUUGGCUUUUUGUGUGCUCCAGUACUUUUCCACAAGAGUUGCAAGGUUGCUGGAUUUUAAUGAUGCAGUACGCUGCAUUAAUGUUGAGUACAGCCAACUUAAAUGGGUCUGGUGCUGGCGUCCAUGUGCUCCUAAUUGGAUUAUGAUGAAAGCUAGAGGCAGUGAUGAAAAAUGAUGCCCAGCCUCUGACCAGCCUGGAGCUGGUUUCAGUGAAGCACCAGUGUAUUCUGUUGCAGAUGCCUGCAUCAGCUGCAGGAAAUGGCUCCAACAGGACUGGGGGACCCAGGCAACCAAAAUCUGCUGCUCAGGAGCAGAGGGGCUGAACAGGAUGAGGCUGAGGUGGUAGCACUCUGCAGGGAUCGAUUUUGGGAACCAUGCUUAACUGAUGCCUGGCACAGGCUGAUGAAGCGCAGCAUGGGCGAGGAGGUGGGAAUGCUGCCUGUGUAUAAAACAGGAUAGUGGGCCAGGAAAUGGCCCUGGAAGGAUGCAAGUGAGCAGAAAUUUGAGAGUGUAAAGAACCAACAUCACAUGCUUUGGGGACAAACAGGAGUUUCUACUUGAAUUUGAGUGCCUGUCCUCCUGGGACGCUUGUAUGAGCCUGUGUGCAUGGGUUCGUUGUGAAGCCUGAGGAGCCGUAACGUGAUGCAGCAGUAGCAAGGAGACACGUGAUGAGUGGAUGUGCUCAGGAGCUAUUUUCAGAAGCACAGUGCAUACCAAGUAAUGUUGGAUGAGGCUGCAGCAGGAUUUCAUUUGGGUACUUGGUGGUGGCUGAGCCCCUGGCCCAAAAGGAUGAAAUCACACCGAGUUAUCGGGGGAAAGUUGCUCCAGAUACCUGGGGCUUGUGUGGCCCAGUUUACAUAAUGAUGGAGUGGUGGUUCAGUCCAGCAACAUGGUGGAUGUUGGGAGUUCUUUUGGGUCAGGAAUAAAGGAUGGAUCUGGAGAAGGAAUUUAAUGCAGGAGAAAGGGAAAAUACAAAUGAUCAGCGUAUGUACAUGGAGCAUAAUGCAUUACGUUCCACAAGGAAGUGCAUGAGAAAUAAAGCAAGGAGUGGUAUGAUUGGCUGUAUGGCUGUGUGUACUGAACACUCAAGGACAGGCUGCCUGAGGUGCUGAAAAACAACACGAAUAUUUCCAGAACCUGGAAAUGCCCCUCACCUGAAAGCCCCUCAGUACAAGAAAGACAUUGAGGCUCUAGAGCGUGUCCAGAGGAGAGCAGCAAAGCUGUGAGAGGUCUGGAGCGCAAGUCUGAUGGGGAGCAGCUGAGGGAACUGGGGUUGUUCAGUCUGGAGAAGAUAAGGCUCAGGGGAGACCUUAUCACUCUCUACAACCACCUGAAAGGAGGCUGUGUUGAGGUGGGGGUUGGCCUCUUCUCCCAUAUAGCAGUGAUAGGACGAGAGUGAUUGGCCUCAAGGGGGGAAGCUGGAUUUUCUCAGAAAGAGCGGUGGGGCAGAGGCACAGGCUGCCCAGGGAGGUGGUGGAGUCACCGUCCCCAGAGGUGUUCAAGAACCAUGUGGAUGUGGUACAUGGUCAGUGAGCAUGGUGGGGGAAGGUUGACAGUUAGUCUAGGUGAUCUUGGAGGUCUUUUCCAACCUUACUGAUUCUGUGAUUCUAUGUUUCUAUGAAAGGAAGAAGCAGUCUGACACUGACAACUUUCCUGUGGCCAACAAGAGCCAUUCUGUGCUGCAGAAGGCUCUGGUGAGGUGGGCAACACCAGAGCUGGCACGUGGAGAGUGGGAAAAUAUGAGUUAGACAUGCUGAAUUACCCUAAAUACUUGAAAUAUCCUUACCAGAACGAGGUUAUGUCUUUGGGAGCUGUGGGUGAAUGAAUGCCCUCAGCAGGCAGAGCUGGGAGCCAGCACCUGGGUGUUAAUGGAUGGAGCGAGUUGUUAAGGGGCUCUGUUUUGCAAUUGUUAACAAGAGGACUACUUCCAGAUAAAGACCUUUUUUUCCUUCUUAAUUACAAUUCCAUUUCCUGAAUCAAGGAGAAAGAGCAGAGGGUGGAUUAAGUGGGCAAGAAAAGACAAAACCAGGUUCAUUUACUGCUGCUCUGUGUUUCAUGGCACUGUGCUAUAGGCUGAUAGCUCUUCUUUUCCUGACUGAACAAUCCCAGUUCCCACAGUCCAGUUUCCUCCCCAUCAGACUUGUCCUCCCGACCCCUCACAGCUUCAUUGCCCUUCUCUGGAAAUGCUCCAGGGCCUCCUGCCUUUCUUCUAAUGAGGCGCCCAAAAAUGAACACAGUACUUGAAGUGUGGCCUCACCAGGGCUGAGUCCAUACCUAAUCCAUCUAAUGUUUUAGAUACAGACCGUUGACAAAGUCUGGGACUAGGACUGGGUCCAACUGCACUCAGGCUCCUGUAAGCAGGAGUUUAGGAAGCAAGGGGUUCCUUCUGAGCCACAGGACCCAACAGGAGGUCUCCCCAGAUCACCUGACUUACCCCAUCCUCUAUGCGGUAAAUGACGAUUCAUGUCAUCAAAUUUUGUUAUACUGCACAACCUUUGUUCAGUCACAAUGGCAGUAAACUGUCCUGCUGCCUCUCUCUUCCGAGUGAGUCAUUUCCAUCUGUGACAUACCUCUUAUCAAAAGCAGGUGCUCUUAACUGACAACCCAGCACAUAAAAAUGACAGAAGUAUCUGUCACACCUCAAGAGGAGGAAGGAGCACUCCACUGCCUUGUAAAGGACAGACACAGUGCACCCAUUACCUUCUUCACGUUCUGCAACAGUCCAUCAAGCAAAAAGGAGGAAAAGUUAGAAGCUGUUGAUGUAGGAAGCGUAAGGUGUGAGUUCAUAGAUUCAUAAAGGUUGGAAAGAUCAAUAAGAUCAUCAAGUCCAACCAUCAGCCCAUGCCUGUGACUGCUAUAGACCACGUCCCUCAGUGCCACAUCCACACGGCUCUUGAACACCUCCAGGGACGGUGACUCCACCACCUCCCUGGGCAGCCUGUGCCACUGCCUCACUGCUCUUGCUGAGAAGAUGUUUCAAACAUCCAACCUGAACCUCUCCUGGUGCUACUUGAGGCCAUUCGCUCUUGUCCUUUCGCUGUUACCUGGCAGAACAGGCCAACCCCCACCUCACCACAACCUCCUUUCAGUUAGAUUACUGGGAAAUCAUAGGGAAGAUGGAUACCUAUCAAUCUAGCAAUAGUUGCCCUCAUUCAACUGGAAAAUAAAAACAACGUAAAAAAAAUGUAUAAAUUUUUUAGGUAGAAAUAUCCAAAUCUCUGUGAAUAAUACCUCUCUUGGGUAACAGAAAGGGUCAGAGUGCGGCAGAGCAGGCCUGCAGAUGGUUGGAUGAGAGUGGUGCUGAUUAACAAGGUUUCCCUGAAAAAAAGUAGGUGAAAGUUAGCAUUUGAUUUCAGUCAGUAAUGUGGCAGUGCUUUGUACACCCGGCCCAGGAUUUGAAAGAAAUAAACAUUCACCGAAUGGCCUUUCUUUCCUUUGGAGAUAAACAUCUUUCACUUCUCAGAAUUCUGCUUUGAACUACGUGGGAACAUUUCAAAGCGGGAUGAUUUCAAAAAAAACUUCCUUCGUGUUGAGAAUUUAGGAGAACUUACGUCUGGAUUUCAAUCUCUUUGAAGGUGCACAAUUAACAAGGUGUCACAAGGGGAGAAGGAGAAAGACUGAAGUUAAACAUCAAGCCCACGUACAUACCUGCCUAGAGAGCUGCAUUUUUCCUUAGGGCGGAUGUGCCUUGUGAAAAACUGUUUUCUUUUGCAAGCACACUGUUCCUCCUCAUAGAACUCUCCUUUACUUUGUCCUUCCUGAUACCUUUUGACAGUUGACAUAUGUGGGAUGGAGCUGAUCCCAGAGACGUGGCAUUUUGAUUUCUGCUUCUGAGGCUGCUCUGUAACUGCUGGGCUGCUACAUGGAAGGUAUCUGCCAGCACCUCUUCAAGGAGAGGAGCCCCACUGUGCCAUUCACUCUGUGCUUCCUGUGCACUGUCGAUAUGCCUGAGCCUGCCUCCUGAUAAUGCUACUCAGGGGCUCAUAUCCUGCAGGGAUCUGCAUUCCGAUGACCUCCUGGAUGCCUGCAAGACUGUGACAGAAGGGAAUUCCUCCCUGGCAAGGAUGAGACCAAAGAUGGGUGGUGGGUGCACGGAAGUCCAUCACAUGACUGAGCCAUAACUUCUGGUGCAGAACAAAAGCAAACCCCCUACAUGUGUCCCAGGUCAGGUGACGUGCCUAGGACUUUCCUUUCCAAAGGAAAAUCAAAGUCUACAAGCAAAGUACGUGCUAGUCCAUGUACUUCCCAUCAAUCAUGCUGUGAGGAGUCGUAAAAAAAACUAUUUCCUUAUUCCUGACCUGGAGCCAAAGACCUGGAGCAUGUGGUUUGAUUAUCGCCACUGUUGUAAAGUGGUGCUCAGCCUGCUGUGAGUCAGCUCUGAAGAAGGGCUCAUCACGGGGCACAGAGGGUUGCAGUAUCCUGGAGCUGUGUGGCACCCCUGGAUGUGUCUCUGGAAAAGCCCAGAAGGGAAGAAGAGAAACACAGCCCAAGACCUUAUGGCUAAUGAGUCAUAGGAUCACAGAACCAUAGAACGAUUUGGGUUGGAAGGGACCUCCAAGCCCACGCUGCCCUAACCCGAGCCAUGGGCAGGGCUGCCGCCCACCAGCUCAGGCUGCCCAGGGCCUCAUCCAACCUGGCCUUGAGCGCCUCCAGGGAUGGGGCACCACAGCUUCCCUGGGCAGCUGUGCCAACGCCUCACCACCCUCCUAGGAAAUAUUUUCCUAAUAUCUAAUCUGAAUCUCCCCUUUUAGUUUGGAAUUGUUACUUCUUGUUCUGUCACGAGGAAGCCAAUUCUCUGCACCACAUCCAGGACCUUGCAGCCUCCUGCGCUGCUGGAUGCUCACCAGGUACAGCCCUUGUCUACUACAUAAGAAGACUGCAGAGAAAAAAAAAUUGGACAGUUUAUUCAAAAGAAAAUCAAGAGGCAUCUUGAUCACAGCCUGUAUCUGCUAAUUGAGGGAUAAAAAGCAGGAUGGAGUUCCCAGCCAACAAAACACAGCAAGAAACAGGGCAAAAAAAGCUCCAUGCUUUGGAUGGUUAGCAGCUUAUCAGCAGGAGGAAAAGGUUUUUGUGUUAGUGAGGCUUUAAACCAAGUCAGAAUUCCUGUCAGAGAUGGGCUGUGUCUCUGAGUGAGACACAGGCUGAGUGCAGGCAGUGGCCAUGAGUGGUGUCCUUGGUCAGGUCCCACCCAGGGACAUGCGAGCAAAAGGCACAGCUGCAGGUUCUAUCAGCCGUUGGUCCUGGAGCAGCAGGAACAAAGGAUGAGGGUAGAUUAGAUGGGAGGUCUUACAUGGAGUGAAAGUAAAAGUGAAAGUCCAUACCUCUGCAAUGUCUCAGUGAGCAAGGACUGCUGUACAUGUAAAAGGCCAAGUCCAGCGUGCACUGGAGUUAGAUUUUGGCUCUCAAAAGUUCUUCUCAAGAAGCUAUGAGACAUCAUGACGUACUGAAAUUAUUAGACAGCAAAAAUUUAGCUAGCAAAAAUUGUUAGUGAUAAGUAUUAAGGGAAAUCCGAACCGUUAGCCUUUGUACCUCUGAAUACAUCUCUAUUCACAUACCACUAGCUUGCUUUCUUACACAUAGUGGGUGGAUGCUGGUACGAGGCACGCAUAAGCAAAACGGAUCUGAAGAACACUAUAUCCAUUGUGAAGAGAAAUUAAAGAAGCUUUCGAAGGGCUAUCAGUUUACUGAAGCAGUUCAGUUUUUUGCCUUUUCUCAGUAAAUAGUUUUUUAUCCUCUCACAGCUUACACUUACUCCAGAAUGUAGAGGGUGAACUUCAGACUUUUCCCUCCAAAGGAAAUGGUUACGAGAACUUAUAUGUCAAAGAGUUUCACGUCAUGGUUGUUUUGUCUUUGGGCUUUUUGUAAGUGGCUUCUUGUUGUGCUGUGGUGUGCUGCAGCCGAGGUUCACUGAUCCGGGCCCAAACUGCUGUGUAAAACAAAGGAAGCAACUGGAUAAGUAUAACCUUUUGGGUCAUACUAAUGGUGUGCAUCUGCUUUUGGAACGGGAGUCUUGCUUUCCACAAACCCCCUUUAAUGUGCACUUCAAUGGCUGGGAGAACUCCUUGAGAGCAGCCCUGCGGAGAAGGACUUGGGGGCUCUGGUGGGUGAGAAGCUGGACGUGAGCCAGCAGUGUGUGCUUGCAGCUCGGAAGGCCAACUGUGUUCUGAGCUGCAUCAACAAGAAGGGUGGGCAGCAGGGAGAGGGAGGUGAUUGUGCUCCUCUGCUCUGCCUUCGUGAGGCCCCAUCUGGAGUACUGCGUCCAAGCCUGGGGCCCCCAGCACAAGAAGGAGUGGAGCUGUUGGAGAGGGUCCAGAGGAGGGCAUGAAGAUGCUCAGAGGGCUGGAGCACCUCUCCUGUAAAGACAGGCUGAGGGAGCUGGGCUUGUUUAGUCUGGAGAAGAGAAGGAUGCAGGGAGAUUUCACUGUGGCCUUCCCAUUACUUGAGGGGAGCAUAUAAAUAGGAGGGAAACUGACUUUUUACGUGGUCUGAUAGUGAUAGGACAAGGGGGAAUGGCUUUAAACUAAAAGGGGGAAAUCUAGGUUAGAUCUUAUGAGGAAAUUCCUUACUCAGAGGGCGGUGAGGCGCUGACACAGCUGCCCAGGGAAGCUGUGGUGCCCCAUCCCUGGAGGCGCUCAAGGCCAGGUUGGAUGGGGCCCUGGGCAGCCUGAGCUGGUGGG